CUGGACAACGAUUGCUUAGCAACAGGAUGGUAAGAUGCUUGACAAAUGUCGAAGCAUUUUCACUCCGAGCUGCAGACCUUGAAGAAGUCACAAGUCUGUUCUCAAGAUUCUUGAGGAACUCUCGUGUUCAAGGAGCCAUAAGGUACGAAUCACCCUAUUGGAGAUCUCUGGCAGCUACUCGGAUUCAAGUAGCUUGGAGAUACCUGAAAAAACGUUUAAAUCGGGCAGAUCCAUCUCAGAGCAUCCAUCAAUUAUAAUAAUAUAUUUUGUAAGUUGUCAGUGGAGUGCAUUAGGGCUUCUGAAACAUCUGGCCAUAUUUGUAGAAAGUUCAAUCAACAGAAGAGGAAGAGAUGAAGAUACUAGAAGUUUGAAUUUAGCGUUUGUAUACAGAUGGUCAGUGGACAUCCAGGAACAUAAGUCUAGAUUUUUAACCUUGGAGUCAAAUUUAGUCCUAUAUUUGUAGGUUAAAUAUUGAUUUAAAUAGAUGAAGAGUUACUGAAUCAUGUGGCCUUUCUUAGACUUUGUUGAUGUAUGUACAUGUAUGCAAGACCUUUAUCUUCUGCUAAUGGACUUUGGCAAUCUUUUUCAUGCUUCA